UGGGGAAUUUUGGACAAUGGGCGCAAGCCCGAUCCAGCAAUGCCGCGUGCAGGAUGAAGGCCUUCGGGUUGUAAACUGCUUUUGUACGGAGCGAAAAGGUCUGCCCUAAUACGGUGGGCUCAUGACGGUACCGUAAGAAUAAGCACCGGCUAACUACGUGCCAGCAGCCGCGGUAAUACGUAGGGUGCGAGCGUUAAUCGGAAUUACUGGGCGUAAAGCGUGCGCAGGCGGUUAUAUAAGACAGGUGUGAAAUCCCCGGGCUCAACCUGGGACCUGCAUUUGUGACUGUAUAGCUAGAGUACGGUAGAGGGGGAUGGAAUUCCGCGUGUAGCAGUGAAAUGCGUAGAUAUGCGGAGGAACACCGAUGGCGAAGGCAAUCCCCUGGACCUGUACUGACGCUCAUGCACGAAAGCGUGGGGAGCAAACA
rnacentral:rRNA from 1 species